AGUUCCAGCAAUGCGAGAUUUCUGUGAAGGAUUUAAACAAGAGGAAAAAAAAGGAGAAGUAAGCAGCCUGCAAAGAAAUGUUUAGAAAAUUCCAAGUGGGUGAAGCUUGCAGGAUUUGAUGAGAUGAAUUGGUGAAUAGCUUUGUGACAGACCUUCGUUCAAGAUCCAUUCAAGGAUAGAAGACAAUUGCAUUGAAUGGUUGAAUAGGGAGAUUUCUCAGGAGAAUGUUGCUGGGUGCCGUUGAAUAUUUACUCUCCCACAUCCUUGCCUGGCAGGAGGGCCUGUAAGGAGGCUAUUCUAUGAGCUUGUAUCAUCUCCCUGGAUUCUAGGAGCAAAUUACGAAGCAAAUGUUGGACCUCUGCCUGUGAAAACCACAGGUCCACGACACUGAGAGGAACCAGGAACCACGCCUGAAGAGCUUCCUUUAGGAUUUCUUGUGAGACAAGUCAGCUUUUAUUUGUCUGGAAAAGUCUUUAUCUCACUUUUAUUUGUGAAGAACUGCUUUGGCAGUUCUCAAGAGUAACUGUAGAAUGUACUGGGAAUGCAACAUCCUGAGAGAAGAAAGGACUGGCUAGAACAGCCCAGGCCGUAUUCCAGUUUCUUGGAAACAGAAUGUCUUUCAAUGUUUUGUCCAGGGGGUAACUUCACCUUGGAGUAUAAAACCCAGGGUGGACUGCUUUUGCAGGUCCCUAGCUGAGGUACAAGUGUGGCAUGUGCAGA